rnacentral:rRNA from 1 species
UACGAGAGGCGCAAACGUUAUUCGGAAUUCCUGGGCUUAAAGAGUUCGUAGGCGGCGCAGAAAGUAGGGUGUGAAAGCCCUCGGCUCAACCGAGGAAUUGCGCUCUAAACUACUGUGCUUGAGGGACCUAGAGGUGAGCGGAACUGAUGGUGGAGCGGUGAAAUGCGUUGAUAUCAUCAGGAAUACAGGAGGCGAAGGCGGCUCACUGGACCGGUACUGACGCUGAGGUGCGAAAGCGUGGGGAGCAAAAAGG